rnacentral:tRNA from 1 species
GACCAUGUAGCUUAUUUGGCAGAGCAUUGGACUAGUAUCCCAAAGAUCGCGGGUUCGAUUCCCACCGUGGCCA